rfam:Oryza glaberrima chromosome 6 Oglab06_0014_11, whole genome shotgun sequence.
AAUAAGUACAGAUUUAGCACUGUUCAUGCCCAACGUUUGACCGCUCGUUUUAUUUGAAAUUUUUUUUAUGAUUACUACUUUUAUUAUUAUUAGAUGAUAAAACAUGAAUAGUACUUUAUGUGUGACUAUUUUUUUAAUAUUUUUUAUAAAUUUUUCAAAUAAGAUGAAUGGUCAAAACGAUAAGCACGGAUAUCUAUGGCUGUACUUAUU